CGGCCGCGUCGACGGCCCAGACUCCUACGGGAGGCAGCAGUAGGGAAGUCUUCGGCAAUGGACGGAAGUCUGACCGAGCAACGCCGCGUGAGUGAAGAAGGUUUUCGGAUCGUAAAGCUCUGUUGUAAGAGAAGAACGAGUGUGAGAGUGGAAAGUUCACACUGUGACGGUAUCUUACCAGAAAGGGACGGCUAACUACGUGCCAGCAGCCGCGGUAAUACGUAGGUCCCGAGCGUUGUCCGGAUUUAUUGGGCGUAAAGCGAGCGCAGGCGGUUAGAUAAGUCUGAAGUUAAAGGCUGUGGCUCAACCAUAGUUCGCUUUGGAAACUGUCAAACUUGAGUGCAGAAGGGGAGAGUGGAAUUCCAUGUGUAGCGGUGAAAUGCGUAGAUAUAUGGAGGAACACCGGUGGCGAAAGCGGCUCUCUGGUCUGUAACUGACGCUGAGGCUCGAAAGCGUGGGGAGCGUCGACGCGGCCG
rnacentral:rRNA from 1 species